UUGGCGGACGAGACGCUCCACGCCGUAGUUGCGCUUCAGGAACUGCUCCAUCUUGUGCGAGGGCCCGUCGAUGGCUAGUGCGUGGACGUCGCUCUCCGUGUCCUGGGUUCCAAAUAGGAGCGCCAGUUUUAAAGUGAACUCGUCAAUAAUGUGGGCGCGCUGUGGGCUCAGCACGCAGCGCCAGUCCAGCACUGACCUUGAGCAUGAAAUCGAAAAGUUUCUUCCCGCAUCCGGUGCGCUGGCGGUUGCAGACCACGUAGAAGUCGAGGACGCAGAGCGGCUCCAGCUCGCGCACUUGUUCCUUGUCGUCGAACAAAAACAGGGUCCCACUGGUCACCUUGGGGAUAAGGAGGACAAUUUCCACGGAAACGGAAUUCUGCUUGUGAUCUAGGAAACCCUACAGAAACGUGUUGGUAUAGACGUCAACUAGGCGUCGACCGGCGCACGCGUGUAGUGCCACUGCAGGGACGCAAUCUGGCGUCGGCUUGUGGAAUUCGCGGAGCCAGGGAUCCCGUCUGACCGCACACUUACACUAGUACCGAGGCACGUAUAGUGGUGUGGCUCAUCUGUGUGGUAAAGAAUUUCAAUUGACAACAGUGCUCAAGAAAUGUUCACUUCAAAAAUAUCAUUUCUGCAAGCUCGCAAUACUCUCAUCUUGUAACGUAAAAACAAAAGUAGGGCGACGCGACGCGACGCGAGGGACACUCUGCCCCGAACGACCUCACUCCUCAUUGGCUUCGUGCAGAGAUCAUUGCACACUUCUUAUUGUUUAUUUAGCAAAUCAUACUUCAGUGAACCGUCACCAACCACAUUUAUUAAGUCGUCGGGCACGGACCAAGUAUAAAAUAUUACAUAGUAUAGCAAGUACAAUCGGUCGAGGUGACGGAGUCGCAUGUUCAUUUCUACUGCUAUUAUAAGCUCUUAACUUAAAUGUGUACAACGUUAUGCACCGACGGUCAUUAUGUUAUUUUGAUAGUUUUUUUACAAUUGUAGGUAACCCGAAUAAAGCCAUGUAUCUUUCUCUAUAUAACAUUUCAUGUGUGGGAAAUGUUAAUGUUACAAACGAUUUAGAAUUUGUAGUCUUAGACUAGAUAAAAUUCGGAUCUGUAUGUAUUAAUAUCUGCGCUUAUACGAGUAGCCGGACAGCGAGGGGGCUGGGCUGGCGAGGCAGCGCGGCUCUGUUGUUAGCGAUGGUUUCUCGACAGGUAAUGAAACUGGAGCGCAUCGGUGAACCGUCGCGUCGCGUCGCGGGCGCGGCGGACCGUGUCGCUCUCUGUAGACUUGUACAAUGUUUCACAAGAAGCGGAUUUAUUUUCGCCAGGUUCAACGGUACCACGCGAGUAUUUCCGAAACUACUACAAAAUGAAACCUCGAUCAUUUGACAUGUUUAAUUUCGAAUUACGCGAAACAUUUUAAAUUUA